GGCGUCACCGGGCCUUCCGUCUGGAUCGAUAGAGAGCGAACCUUUUCGACUCGCGCGAACAAUCUAGAGAGGGAGAUUCUCUGAGGCCCUCGUAUCCUCGCCCCGACGUUGGCUUUUUAUCCGCCCUUGCCGUUAUAGCGUCAUGGAGCUUUUAAGGCCAAUAUGAGGAAGGUAAUUGGGCGUCAGUAGAUGGUUGGACUCCAUUCGCACCGAGAACCCUGCGUACCUAAAGCUGCACAUGGCAAGAAAUACUACCUUUCUUUAACCAAACCGUCGUCCUUAAUCCAAAGCUUUAAUCUUAAUUGUAUGUGAUAAAACUCAUGGCGACAUACCUCGGUUUUCGUCUAGGAUUUACGUAAGGGACACACAGAAGGGAAAGGAAAACGUCCGAACGCCUAUGAAUAAAUUCUGGCUUGCCUUGUGAGAACGAGGUUGCGCAGUGACAGUGCGCCACCGCCAUCCGAGGGGAAGUGAGGACAGGCGGGCACGUUAGUCAGCGCUGAGCACCAAAACUUUUGUCUCAUCAGGGCUCUGUUAAAUAAUGAUCAUCUCUUAAUAUCUCUGGAGAAAGAGAGAGAAAGAGAGAGAGAGAGAGAGAGACAGUGGCCAACGUUCCUCUGAUAUAUGCUAUAGAUAGGUGAUGGCCCAGGGCGGUGAUGGCAGGGUGAAGGCGAGGUCGUGAGCCGGCCAGCCCCCCUCCCCUGCCAGCCGGCUCCCCCUCCCAUCCUAAGGGCCCUCAUCCUCGAGGGCGCGACUUGUCUGCGGAAUUUGCGAGC